rnacentral:rRNA from 1 species
UGGGGAAUUUUGGACAAUGGGCGCAAGCCUGAUCCAGCCAUGCCGCGUGCGGGAAGAAGGCCUUCGGGUUGUAAACCGCUUUUGUCAGGAAAGAAAUCUUCUGAGUUAAUACCUCGGGAGGAUGACGGUACCUGAAGAAUAAGCACCGGCUAACUACGUGCCAGCAGCCGCGGUAAUACGUAGGGUGCAAGCGUUAAUCGGAAUUACUGGGCGUAAAGCGUGCGCAGGCGGUUUUGUAAGACAGAGGUGAAAUCCCCGGGCUCAACCUGGGAACUGCCUUUGUGACUGCAAGGCUUGAGUGCGGCAGAGGGGGGAUGGAAUUCCGCGUGUAGCAGUGAAAUGCGUAGAUAUGCGGAGGAACACCGAUGGCGAAGGCAAUCCCCUGGGCCUGCACUGACGCUCAUGCACGAAAGCGUGGGGAGCAAACAGGAUUAGAUACCCUGGUAGUCCACGCCCUAAACGAUGUCAACUGGUUGUUGGGAAGGUUCCUUCUCAGUAACGUAGCUAACGCGUGAAGUUGACCGCCUGGGGAGUACGGCCGCAAGGUUGAAACUUAAAUGAAUUGACGGGGUCAUAGCUGUUUCCUG